CAGUGGCGAACGGGUGAGUAACACGUGGGCAAUCUGCCCUGCACUCUGGGACAAGCCCUGGAAACGGGGUCUAAUACCGGAUACGACCUUCCUCUGCAUGGGGGUUGGUGGAAAGCUCCGGCGGUGCAGGAUGAGCCCGCGGCCUAUCAGCUUGUUGGUGGGGUAAUGGCCUACCAAGGCGACGACGGGUAGCCGGCCUGAGAGGGCGACCGGCCACACUGGGACUGAGACACGGCCCAGACUCCUACGGGAGGCAGCAGUGGGGAAUAUUGCACAAUGGGCGAAAGCCUGAUGCAGCGACGCCGCGUGAGGGAUGACGGCCUUCGGGUUGUAAACCUCUUUCAGCAGGGAAGAAGCGCAAGUGACGGUACCUGCAGAAGAAGCACCGGCUAACUACGUGCCAGCAGCCGCGGUAAUACGUAGGGUGCGAGCGUUGUCCGGAAUUAUUGGGCGUAAAGAGCUCGUAGGCGGCCUGUCGCGUCGGAUGUGAAAGCCCGGGGCUCAACCCCGGGUCUGCAUUCGAUACGGGCAGGCUAGAGUUCGGUC
rnacentral:rRNA from 1 species